GUAUACAUCAUAUUUCAAAAUUUCACAUUUAUAAGCUAAGCAGGGUCAGGCCUGGUUAGUACUUGGAUGGAAGACCACCUAGGAAGACCAGGUGCUGUAGUCA
rnacentral:rRNA from 1 species